AGAGUUUGAUCAUGGCUCAGAUUGAACGCUGGCGGCAGGCCUAACACAUGCAAGUCGAGCGGUAGCACAGAGAGCUUGCUCUCGGGUGACGAGCGGCGGACGGGUGAGUAAUGUCUGGGAAACUGCCUGAUGGAGGGGGAUAACUACUGGAAACGGUAGCUAAUACCGCAUAAUGUCGCAAGACCAAAGUGGGGGACCUUCGGGCCUCAUGCCAUCAGAUGUGCCCAGAUGGGAUUAGCUAGUAGGUGGGGUAACGGCUCACCUAGGCGACGAUCCCUAGCUGGUCUGAGAGGAUGACCAGCCACACUGGAACUGAGACACGGUCCAGACUCCUACGGGAGGCAGCAGUGGGGAAUAUUGCACAAUGGGCGCAAGCCUGAUGCAGCCAUGCCGCGUGUGUGAAGAAGGCCUUCGGGUUGUAAAGCACUUUCAGCGGGGAGGAAGGCGAUAAGGUUAAUAACCUUGUCGAUUGACGUUACCCGCAGAAGAAGCACCGGCUAACUCCGUGCCAGCAGCCGCGGUAAUACGGAGGGUGCAAGCGUUAAUCGGAAUUACUGGGCGUAAAGCGCACGCAGGCGGUCUGUCAAGUCGGAUGUGAAAUCCCCGGGCUCAACCUGGGAACUGCAUUCGAAACUGGCAGGCUAGAGUCUUGUAGAGGGGGGUAGAAUUCCAGGUGUAGCGGUGAAAUGCGUAGAGAUCUGGAGGAAUACCGGUGGCGAAGGCGGCCCCCUGGACAAAGACUGACGCUCAGGUGCGAAAGCGUGGGGAGCAAACAGGAUUAGAUACCCUGGUAGUCCACGCCGUAAACGAUGUCGAUUUGGAGGUUGUGCCCUUGAGGCGUGGCUUCCGGAGCUAACGCGUUAAAUCGACCGCCUGGGGAGUACGGCCGCAAGGUUAAAACUCAAAUGAAUUGACGGGGGCCCGCACAAGCGGUGGAGCAUGUGGUUUAAUUCGAUGCAACGCGAAGAACCUUACCUGGUCUUGACAUCCACAGAACUUUCCAGAGAUGGAUUGGUGCCUUCGGGAACUGUGAGACAGGUGCUGCAUGGCUGUCGUCAGCUCGUGUUGUGAAAUGUUGGGUUAAGUCCCGCAACGAGCGCAACCCUUAUCCUUUGUUGCCAGCGGUCAGGCCGGGAACUCAAAGGAGACUGCCAGUGAUAAACUGGAGGAAGGUGGGGAUGACGUCAAGUCAUCAUGGCCCUUACGACCAGGGCUACACACGUGCUACAAUGGCAUAUACAAAGAGAAGCGACCUCGCGAGAGCAAGCGGACCUCAUAAAGUAUGUCGUAGUCCGGAUUGGAGUCUGCAACUCGACUCCAUGAAGUCGGAAUCGCUAGUAAUCGUAGAUCAGAAUGCUACGGUGAAUACGUUCCCGGGCCUUGUACACACCGCCCGUCACACCAUGGGAGUGGGUUGCAAAAGAAGUAGGUAGCUUAACCUUCGGGAGGGCGCUUACCACUUUGUGAUUCAUGACUGGGGUGAAGUCGUAACAAGGUAACCGUAGGGGAACCUGCGGUUG
rnacentral:rRNA from 1 species